GAUGAACGCUAGCGGCAGGCUUAAUACAUGCAAGUCGAGGGGCAGCAUGAUUGUAGCAAUACAAUUGAUGGCGACCGGCAAACGGGUGCGGAACACGUACACAACCUUCCAAUAAGUGGGGAAUAGCCCAGAGAAAUUUGGAUUAAUACCCCGUAACAUAACGAUGUGGCAUCACAUUGUUAUCAUAGAUUUUUCGCUCAUUGAUGGGUGUGCGGCUGAUUAGAUAGUUGGCGGGGUAACGGCCCACCAAGUCUACGAUCAGUAGCUGAUGUGAGAGCAUGAUCAGCCACACGGGCACUGAGACACGGGCCCGACUCCUACGGGAGGCAGCAGUAAGGAAUGUUGGACAAUGGACGCAAGUCUGAUCCAGCCAUGCCGCGUGAAGGAUUAAGGUCCUCUGGAUUGUAAACUUCUUUUAUAAGGGACGAAAAAGGGCUUUUCUAAGUCGUCUGACGGUACCUUAUGAAUAAGCACCGGCUAACUCCGUGCCAGCCGCCGCCGUAAUAC
rnacentral:rRNA from 1 species